GAUACCGCCCUAGUUCUAACCAUAAACGAUGCCAACCAGCGAUCCGCCUGGGUUCCUCAAAUGACUCGGCGGGCAGCUUCCGGGAAACCAAAGUGUUUGGGUUCCGGGGGAAGUAUGGUUGCAAAACUUAAACUUAAAGGAAUUGACGGAAGGGCACCACCAGGAGUGGAGCCUGCGGCUUAAUUUGACUCAACACGGGAAAACUUACCCGGCCCGGACACUGGAAGGAUUGACAGAUUAAGAGCUCUUUCUUGAUUCAGUGGGUGGUGGUGCAUGGCCGUUCUUAGUUGGUGGAGCGAUUUGUCUGGUUAAUUCCGAUAACGAACGAGACUCUAGCCUACUAAAUAGGCGUCCCGAUCCCUUGCGUCGGGCGCUCUUCUUAGAGGGACAAGCGGCGUUUAGCCGCACGAGACAGAGCAAUAACAGGUCUGUGAUGCCCUUAGAUGUCCGGGGCCGCACGCGCGCUACACUGAAGGAAUCAGCGUGUGCUUUCCCUGUCCGCCAGGACUGGGUAACCCGUUGAACCUCCUUCGUGAUAGGGAUAGGGGCUUGUAAUUGUUCCCCUUGAACGAGGAAUUCCCAGUAAGCGCGAGUCAUAAGCUCGUGUUGAUUAUGUCCCUGCCCUUUGUACACACCGCCCGUCGCUACUACCGAU
rnacentral:rRNA from 1 species